UCUAAUAUGGCAGACUAGUGCAAUGAAUUUAAGAUUCAUAUAUAAAUAUAUAUAUUUUUUUAGAA
rnacentral:tRNA from 1 species